GGCCAGCAGCCGCGGUAAUACGUAGGGGGCAAGCGUUAUCCGGAUUCAUUGGGCGUAAAGCGCGCGUAGGCGGCUUGUUAAGCGAGAUGUGAAAACCGGGGGCUCAACCCGCGGCCUGCAUCUCGAACUGGCAGGCUUGAGUUUGGUAGAGGAGUGUGGAAUUCCCAGUGUAGCGGUGAAAUGCGCAGAUAUUGGGAGGAACACCAGUGGCGAAGGCGGCACUCUGGGCCACAACUGACGCUGAGGCGCGAAAGCUAGGGGAGCGAACAGGAUUAGAUACCCUGGUAGUCCUAGCCGUAAACGAUGGGCACUAGGUGUGGGGGGUUUUACUCCCUCCGUGCCGCAGCUAACGCAUUAAGUGCCCCGCCUGGGGAGUACGGCCGCAAGGCUAAAACUUAAAGGAAUUGGCGGGGGA
rnacentral:rRNA from 1 species